rnacentral:misc_RNA from 1 species
GAUGAAGAACGCAGCGAAAUGCGAUAAGUAAUGCGAAUUGCAGAAUUCAGUGAGUCAUCGAAUCUUUGAACGCACAUUGCGCCCUGUGGUAUUCCGCAGGGCAUGCCUGUUCGAGCGUCAUUUCAACCCUCAAGCUCUGCUUGGUGUUGGGCCCUGCCCGCUGCGGCCGGCCCUAAAGACAGUGGCGGUGCCGCCUGGCCUUGAGCGUAGUACAUCUCUCGCUCCAGUGCCCGGUGGUAGCCUGCCAGAACCCCAACUCUCGUGGUUGACCUCGGAUCAGGUAGGGAUACCCGCUGAACUUAAGCAUAUCAAUAAGCGGAGGA